AUGAACGCUGGCGGCGUGCUUAACACAUGCAAGUCGUGCGCGAAGGUGGCUCUUCGGCCACUGGAGAGCGGCGAACGGGUGAGUAACACGUGGGUAAUCUGCCUGGGAGCGGGGGGAUAAACCUGGGGAAAACUCGGGCUAAUACCGCAUACGUUGUCGGUGCUUUGGUAUCGACAGGAAAGCUGGCCUCUAUUUAUAAGCUAGCGCUCCUGGAGGAGCCCUGCGGCUGAUUAGCUAGUUGGUGGGGUAAAAGGCUCACCAAGGCGACGAUCAGUAGCCGGCCUGAGAGGGUGAUCGGCCACACUGGGACUGAGACACGGCCCAGACUCCUACGGGAGGCAGCAGUGGGGGAAUAUUGGACAAUGGGCCGCAAGCCUGAUCCAGCAACGCCGCGUGGAGGAUGAAGGUCUUCGGAUCGUAAACUCCUGUCAGACGGGACCGAAGGUUAGCGGGGCAAAAUAGUCCUGCUGCUUGACGGUACUGUCAGAGGAAGCCCCGGCUAACUCCGUGCCAGGCAGCCGCGGUAAUACGGAGGGGGGGCGAGCGUUAUUCGGAAUUAUUGGGCGGUAAAGGGCGCGUAGGCGGCUUGACAAGUCAAAGGUGAAAUCCCUCGGCUCAACUGAGGAAACUGCCUUUGAAAACUGUCUGGCUUGAGGGCCGGGGAGGGGGUAGCGGGAAUUCCCAGUGUAGCGGUGAAAAUGCGUAGAUACUGGGAGGAACACCAGUGGCGAAGGCGGCUACCUGGACCGGUUCUGACGCUGAGGGCGCGAAAGCGUGUGUAGCAAACGGGGAUUAGAUACCCCGGUAGUCCACGGCCGUAAACGAUGGGCACUUGGUGUCGCGGGGUAUCGACCCCCUGCGGUGCCGAAGCUAACGCAUAUUAAGUGCCCCGCCUGGGGGAGUACGGUCGCAAGGCUGAAAACUCAAAGGAAUUGGCGGGGGGGCCCGCACAAGCGGUGGAGCAUGUGGUUUAAUUCGAAGCAACGCGAAGAACCUUACCUGGGUUUGAAGGUGAGCAGAUCGGGGGCGAAAUCUCCCUUUCCCCGCAAGGGACUGCUUGCUAGGUGCUGCAUGGCUGUCGUCAGCAUCGUGUCGUGAGAUGUUGGGUUUAAGUCCCGCAACGAGCGCAACCCCUGCUGCUAGUUGCCAAACGGUUCGGCCGGGCACUCUAGUGGGACUGCCGGUGAUAAACCGGAGGAAGGUGGGGGAUGACGUCAAGUCCUCAUGGCCUUUAUGUCCAGGGCUACAACACGUGCUACAAUGGCCGAUACAAACCGACCGCGAGAGCGCAAGCCUGGAGCAAAUCGGAUAAAGUCGGUCUCAGUUCGGAUUGGGGUCUGCAACUCGACCCCAUGAAGCUGGAAUCGCUAGUAAUCGCGGAUCAGCACGCCGCCGCGGUGAAUACGUUUCCCGGGCCUUGUACACACACCGCCCGUCACAUCACGAAAGUCGGCUGUACCAGAAGUCGGUGUUCUGACUCGCAAGAGAGGAAGCCGCCUAAGGUAUGGUCGGUAAUUGGGGUG
rnacentral:rRNA from 1 species